AGAGUUUGAUCAUGGCUCAGGAUGAACGCUGGCGGCGUGCCUUAGGCAUGCAAGUCGAACGAAAAGUAGCAAUACUUUUAGUGGCAGACGGGUGAGUAACACGUAGGAAUCUACCCUUUGGUGAGGAAUAACGGUUCGAAAGGACCGCUAAUACCACAUAAGUCCGUAAGGAGAAAGACCGUAACUGGUCGCCGAUGGAGGAGCCUGCGUCCUAUCAGCUUGUUGGUGAGGUAAUGGCUCACCAAGGCUAUGACGGGUAGGGGGCGUGAGAGCGUGGCCCCCCACAAGGACACUGAGACACGGGUCCUACACCUACGGGUGGCAGCAACCGGGAAUAUUGCGCAAUGGAGGAAACUCUGACGCAGCGACGCCGCGUGCGGGAUGAAGGCCUUCGGGUUGUAAACCGCUGUGGAGAGGGAUGAAUUUUGACAGUACCUCUCUAGAAAGCACCUGCUAACUACGUGCCAGAAGCCUCGGUAAUACGUAGGGUGCAAGCGUUAUCCGGAUUUACUGGGCGUAAAGCGUCCGUAGGCGGUAUGGUAAGUGGUGGGUUAAAGACUCUGGCUCAACUAGAGGAAAGCUCGCCAAACUGCCAAACUAGAGCUAGUUCGGGGAUACUGGAAUUCUCGGUGGAGGGGUGAAAUCCGUUGAUAUCGAGAAGAACGCCAAAGACGAAGGUAAGUAUCUAGAACUAUGCUGACGCUCAGGGACGAAAGCUAGGGUAGCAAACUGGAUUAGAGACCCAGGUAGUCCUAGCCGUAAACUAUGAACACUAGCUGGUUGGAUGAAUUUCUGACCGGCGCAAGCUAACGCGUUAAGUGUUCCGCCUGGGGAGUACGGCCGCAAGGCUAAAACUCAAAUGAAUUGACGG
rnacentral:rRNA from 1 species